rnacentral:rRNA from 1 species
AGAUCACGUAAUUUCCUAUAGUCGAACAGACUAAAAACUCUCAGCAUCUUCACCAAAUAUAUAAAUUAAUUCAACAUCGAGGUCGCAAACAUAAUUAUUAAUAAGAACUUACAAACUAUAUAACGCUGUUAUCCCUAGAGUAACUUCUUCCCUUUUCUUUUAAAAAUUAAAAAUUCAUCUCUUCAAUAAUUACCCCAAUUAAAAAUUUAAAAAUUUUAAGCUUCUAGGGUCUUCUCGUCCCAAAGAAUAAUAAAAGAAUUUUUACUUUUAAUUUAAAUUCAAAAUUAUUAAAUAAAACUUAUCCCUUAAUAUUUCUACCCUUCAUUCCAGUUUUCAAUUAAAAAA